GCACGUGGCGCGUUUCGUUUCUCGAUUUAAAGGCAGUUACGCGUGAGCUCCAACCAUAGCAUCCAAAAGUAUCAAUAAUGUAGUUGUAGUCGUGUUUAGUUUGUUAUUUACACUUUCGAAACGUGUAUCGAAAGAGAAAACGCAAUCAGUCUUCAUUUCGUCGCUUGUUCGUUUGGGUGUAUUUUUGUCGUCUGCUUUGUAUCUCUCCUCUAUAUUUCAGUUAUUCUUAUUAGAUUACGUUCCAGUGUACAUCGAAAAAUUAUCAAUAAUUAUUCCAAGCGCUCGAGUUAGAGUAAUUGUAGCUCAAUUACUAAUUCGAUUUACAAUUUGUAGAAUAAAUUCCGCGACACGAUCUCAGACUUUCUCGUGGCAUUUUUCUACGAUCGUUUCAUUAGUGAGGUACUGAGUGAAAUCCAUCGCUUCCAAAAUGUGUAUGAACUGUGGAACUAUCAUUGUAUGCUGUCUGAUUUUCGCCAUCGCCAUUGCUGUAGCUAUUUACUACGGCGUAUUCAACGUCGAUGACUCAGCCCCUGAGGUGGGAAACUUCAUCAAGAAUACCGGAGACCAGAUCAAGUAUGGAAUAAAAGACGGCAUCAAGAAGCUGGAAAAUUGAUUCAUUGCGCCCUGGGACCUCAUCAAGCUAAUAGGCGUUUCACAAUAAAAUGGUAAACCGUGAGUGGUCGAGAGUAUAGUUCUUUCAAAUACUGUUAAUUUAAAUACCUUAUCAAAUUUCAGCUAAGAUAAGAAUCUUCACCACAACAUAAAACCCAAACGGUUUGCAAUGAAACCAGAAGUUACAAAGCACGGAAUAGGUGCAUAUUGUUUUUAUUUUUUCUACUUACAUCACAAUUUCUCGAAAUACGAAGAAAUUUACUCAAACUGGAGUAUCAAAUGUCCUACCGUCGCGAAUCUCGUGAUCAGAUACUUUAAUUUAAUAAUAUCUAUACAAACAGGUAACUUCUAGAUAGUUUUAAUUAUUUAUCAAUCUUGGGACCAGUUAUGAAUUUCGUUUCGAUAACCCCUAACCAGGAAUAGAACUCUUACGCGGGUAUUUUGUUUGAAUUGAAUUUUUAAACGCGCUGUAAUUUAUCGUUGGUCCCUGCUGAAAUGUAAAAUACAAAAUGAUUGGCAAAAAUAAACUGAGCAAGCUAUCAUAUUAAUUUUACAUUUAACUUUAUUUUA